UACGGGGGGGGCAAGCGUUGUUCGGAACUACUGGGCGUAAAGGGCGCGUAGGCGGCCUGCUAAGUCGGACGUGAAAUCCCUCGGCUCAACCCCGGAACUGCCUUUGAUACUGGGUGUCUAGAGUCCGAGAGAGGUGAGUGGAAUUCCGAGUGUAGAGGUGAAAUUCGUAGAUAUUCGGAGGAACACCAGUGGCGAAGGCGGCUCACUGGCUCGGUACUGACGCUGAGGUGCGAAAGCGUGGGGAGCAAACAGG
rnacentral:rRNA from 1 species